rnacentral:misc_RNA from 1 species
ACGCGUACUAUAUGCACAAAGAUCACGUGACACUGGCAAACAUCUAACAGUUCUUUUUACACGAAGUUACAAACACAUCCCAGCCUGGCAGGCAAGGCAUCUGGAAAGGACGCGCCAAACAAGAGGAUGCUUCGCCUCCGUGGAUCGCAUUGGCAUCCAUGGUAGUCCAGACCUCCUUGCUGUAGCCUGUGGGCCCAACUUCCCUCGCUCGGCAUCAUGCAUGGUACACGCAAAACUAAUCGUGCGCUGCCACGCGGUGUAUUAUUGGCCUCCCCCGGUGUACACGCAUGCGCCGUAGCCUGCAGGGAUCGUAGGCAGAGUUAGGUUUUCUAGCAAAGCAAGCACGGAGAUACUUAUGCACAUGUCAUGUCACCAUUGUCAUGCGGAACUGCGAGAUCUCCGCAUGGACAAAACCCAACAAAUUCAGGCCUGCCUAGCUAGCGAGCAGCGACGGCUGACGUUAUCAAGAAGCAUACCAAUGCAUGGCAUGUGGCCGAUUCAACAAGAAGCAACAGCAGAGCAAGAGAAAUCGGAGAUAGACAGGGACGACGCGGGCACACGUACUUGGGUUCUCGGAGGUGAGCGUGGCGGACGCCCGGAAGUCGCAGUUCCACGGUUGCCGCCCGGCCGCCUGGUACAGCUGGUUCAUGGCGUACGCUGCGUGGGCGUGCACCGUGUUGGGCUCGAAGCACGCGCCGCCGGGCUGGAUGGCGCCGCAGUCGACGCCCACCUGCGAGCACGCGUAGUCCAGGUCCGCCUGCAGCUCCGCGUCCGAAGCGCCGUCCCGCGCCACGCACCACCCGCCCGCCUUGGGCUGCGCCGGCGCCGCAGUACCUGUACCUCCCCCGGCGUUGGAGUUGGAGGUCAGCCCGGCGUCGUACGCCAUGGUCAGGUCCGUGUGGUACAGCCCGAACGAGCGCUCCGACGUCGGCCCCGGCUUGAGGUCCUCGUCGUACAGCGCGAACAGGUACGUGUCCACCGACCUCCCCGGCAUCAGCGGCGUGCCGGCGCCGGACCGCAGGUGCGCCACCAGGUUGGACACGUAGGCCCUGGCGUUCUCCACCGUGGCGCCGGGCUCCCCGGCGUCGCCCCUGGUCGGCCACCCCGUCUCGGCCACCACGAUGUCCACGCCCCCGUAUCCGGCGCGCACCAGCGCCGACUUCACGGCGUCCAGCUGCGCGUCGAACAUGUUGGCGUACCUGACCUUGGACCCGCCGUCCACGCGCCCGGCGUUGGGCUGGAACAGGCAGAAGGCCAGCGUCUCCGGCCGCGGGUCCGACUGGUACGCGAACCACGGGUAGGGGUUGACCAUGAAGGGCGCGCCGGUCUUGCUCAGGAAUCCCAGGAUCUGCUGCAGCUGCGGCGCGACGUCCGGGUGGAACGCGCCCGCGGACGGCGGCUCCGACUGCGCCAUCACGCCCAUGGUGUUCACGGUGGAGAACCGGAUCCCCGCGGCGCCGUCCCCCGCGGCCGCCGCCGCGGCGCGGAGGUUCUGCAUGGCCGGGAGGAGCGCGGCGGCCAGCGCGGCGUCCCCGGACUCCAGCACCUCGUUGCCCACGGCCACGGCGGAGAUGGUGGUCGCCGGGACGAAGGGCAGCACGUUGGCGGCCAGCCACCGCGACGCCGCGGCCGGGUCGGCGGCCAGCGUGGGGAUCUCGCCGUUGGCCACACCCACCACCACGGAGAUGCCGGACCCCGCCAGCGCGCGGAUCAGCCCCGCGUCCACGCCGUACAGCCGCACCUUGGAGAUGGACGUCGACUUGAGCAGCCUCGCCGUCUUGUCCGGCGACGGCAGGUUGUCCGCUACCUCGCCGUAGUUCACGCCGAUGUACGGCUGCGCUCCUGCACGCGCGCAAUGUACGGCUCCCGCAUCACCAAUCGCGUAAAGCUGGCAGCCGAUGAAUAUAGGAUAACACUCCCCCACCCCAACUCGAUCAACCCCACUCAAUCAACCGCCCAGAAAAGAGAUGAAACCCAUCCCAGUUCCAGAAGAACUUUUCGGCAGCGGGUAAAGCCUGGGGUUUCCUUCCUUCCCCAUCCGCCAACUUUCCGUGCACUAGUUCUAGAGAGACUCGCUAUCGAGAUCGCUGCUCCGCGAAAAGGAAAAAGAAUAGGAGACAAAAAAGAGAUUGCUACUACUCACUUGACACGCAGACGAGACAGAGCCAGAUUGGCAGCAGAGCGGCGGCGGGCUUCCUCGCCGCGGCACCCAUGGGACUCGUCACCUGUCAGAGGCCAGAGGAUGUGGUUUGGAGAAGAAGAUUGGGGCAAAAGGGACGAGCUGCAGCAGAACGAGGCCAAGUGUGAGUGGAGCCAUUUAAACGUGGACGCGAGCUCGUCGACCACGGGAGGCGAGAUGACGCAGGAAU